CUUUUCAACACUUUAAAGAGGGCUUCUGCAAUUGGAAGGAUACAGAGAAGAUUAGCAUGGCCCCUGUGCAAGAAUGACAUGCAAAUUCAUGAAGCGUUCCAUAUUUUA
ensembl:snRNA U6 U6 spliceosomal RNA